GAUGAACGCUGGCGGCGUGCCUAAUACAUGCAAGUCGAGCGAACGGACGAGAAGCUUGCUUCUCUGAUGUUAGCGGCGGACGGGUGAGUAACACGUGGAUAACCUACCUAUAAGACUGGGAUAACUUCGGGAAACCGGAGCUAAUACCGGAUAAUAUUUUGAACCGCAUGGUUCAAAAGUGAAAGACGGUCUUGCUGUCACUUAUAGAUGGAUCCGCGCUGCAUUAGCUGGUUGGUAAGGUAACGGCUUACCAAGGCAACGAUGCAUAGCCGACCUGAGAGGGGGAUCGGCCACACUGGAACUGAGCCACGGUCCAGACUCCUACGGGAGGCCGCGGUAGGGAAUCUUCCGCAAUGGGCGAAAGCCUGACGGAGCAACGCCGCGUGAGUGAUGAAGGUCUUCGGAUCGUAAAACUCUGUUAUUAGGGAAGAACAUAUGUGUAAGUAACUGUGCACAUCUUGACGGUACCUAAUCAGAAAGCCACGGCUAACUACGUG
rnacentral:rRNA from 1 species